GACGAACGCUGGCGGCGUGCCUAAUACAUGCAAGUAGAACGCUGAAGAGAGGAGCUUGCUCUUCUUGGAUGAGUUGCGAACGGGUGAGUAACGCGUAGGUAACCUGCCUUGUAGCGGGGGAUAACUAUUGGAAACGAUAGCUAAUACCGCAUAACAAUGGAUGACACAUGUCAUUUAUUUAAAAGGGCCAUUUGCUCACUAACAAGAUGAACUUCGUUUGAUUAGCUAGUAGGUGAGGUAAUGGCUCACCUAGGCGACGAUACAUAGCCGACCGGAGAGGGUGAGCGGCCACACUGGGACUGAGACACGGCCCAGACUCCUACGGGAGGCAGCAGUAGGGAAUCUUCGGCAAUGGGGGCAACCCUGACCGAGCAACGCCGCGUGAGUGAAGAAGGUUUUCGGAUCGUAAAGCCCUGUUGUAAGUCAAGAACGGGUGUGAGAGUGGAAAGUUCACACUGUGACGGUAGCUUACCAGAAAGGGACGGCUAACUACGUG
rnacentral:rRNA from 1 species